rnacentral:rRNA from 1 species
UACAGAGGGGGCAAGCGUUGUUCGGAAUUACUGGGCGUAAAGGGCGCGUAGGCGGCCUUCUAAGUCGAACGUGAAAUCCCCGGGCUCAACCCGGGAACUGCGUCCGAUACUGGAAGGCUUGAAUUCGGGAGAGGGAUGCGGAAUUCCAGGUGUAGCGGUGAAAUGCGCAGAUAUCAGGAGGAACACCAGCGGCGAAGGCGGCGCUCUGGGCCGGUACUGACACUGAGGAGCGAAAGCGUGGGGAUCAAACAGG